rnacentral:rRNA from 1 species
UACGAAGGGGGCUAGCGUUGCUCGGAAUUACUGGGCGUAAAGGGAGCGUAGGCGGACAUUUAAGUCAGGGGUGAAAUCCCGAGGCUCAACCUCGGAACUGCCUUUGAUACUGGAUGUCUUGAGUGUGAGAGAGGUGAGUGGAACUCCGAGUGUAGAGGUGAAAUUCGUAGAUAUUCGGAAGAACACCAGUGGCGAAGGCGACAUACUGGCUCAUUACUGACGCUGAGGCUCGAAAGCGUGGGGAGCAAACAGG